rnacentral:rRNA from 1 species
UACGUAGGGUGCAAGCGUUAAUCGGAAUUACUGGGCGUAAAGCGUGCGCAGGCGGUUUUGUAAGUCAGAUGUGAAAUCCCCGGGCUAACCUGGGAACUGCGUUUGAAACUACAAGGCUAGAGUGUGACAGAGGGGGGUGGAAUUCCACGUGUAGCAGUGAAAUGCGUAGAGAUGUGGAGGAACACCGAUGGCGAAGGCAGCCCCCUGGGUUAACACUGACGCUCAGGCACGAAAGCGUGGGGAGCAAACAGG